GAACGGGUGUAGCAAUACACCAGUGGCGGACGGGUGAGUAAUGAAUCGCUAAUGUACCCCGGAGCCAGGGAUAGCUACCCGAAAGGGUAGGUAAUACCUGAUGAGACCACAGAGAGGCAUCUUUCGGUGCUCAAAGCCGCAAGGCACUCUGGGAGCAGGCGAUUUUGUAUCAGCUAGUUGGUGAGGUAAUGGCCCACCAAGGCGACGACGCAUAGCCGGACUGAGAGGUUGGCCGGCCACAUUGGGACUGAGACACUGCCCAGACUCCUACGGGGGGCUGCAGUAACGAAUCUUCCGCAAUGCACGAAAGUGUGACGGAGCGACGCCGCGUGUAGGACGAAGCCCUUCGGGGUGUAAACUACUGUCAGGGGAAAGAAAGUUCUGAUCUACCCCAGAGGAAGGGACGGCUAACUCUGUGCCAGCAGCCGCGGUAAGACAGAGGUCCCGAGCGUUAGGCGGAAUCACUGGGCUUAAAGCGUGUGUAGGCGGAUUUGUAAGUACCUUGUGAAAUCCCACGGCUCAACCGUGGAACUGCUUGGUAUACUGCUUAUCUUGGGCCACUUAGGGGUUACCGGAACAAACGGGUGGAGCGGUGAAAUGCGUAGAUAUCGUUUGGAACGCCAAUGGUGAAAACAGGUAACUGGGAGUGUGCCGACGCUGAGACACGAAAGCCAGGGGAGCGAACGGGAUUAGAUACCCCGGUAGUCCUGGCUGUAAACGAUGUCGACUAGAUCGUGGUGGCUCUGACGCUAUCACGGUCGAAGCAAAAGUGCUAAGUCGACCGCCUGGGAAGUACGGUCGCAAGGCUAAAACUCAAAGAAA
rnacentral:rRNA from 1 species